rnacentral:rRNA from 1 species
UACGUAGGGCGCAAGCGUUGUCCGGAAUUAUUGGGCGUAAAGAGCUCGUAGGCGGUUUGUCGCGUCUGCUGUGAAAACCUAAGGCUCAACCUUGGGCUUGCAGUGGGUACGGGCAGACUAGAGUGCGGUAGGGGUGACUGGAAUUCCUGGUGUAGCGGUGGAAUGCGCAGAUAUCAGGAGGAACACCGAUGGCGAAGGCAGGUCACUGGGCCGCAACUGACGCUGAGGUGCGAAAGCGUGGGGAGCGAACAGG